rnacentral:rRNA from 1 species
GACGGAGGGGGCGAGCGUUGUCCGGAAUUACCGGGCGUAAAGGGCGCGUAGGCGGUCGCGUACGGCGGUGGUGAAAGCUCCCGGCUCAACUGGGAGAGGCCCGCCGCAACGGCGCGACUCGAGGGCGGUAGGGGCGGAUGGAAUUCCUGGUGUAACGGUGAAAUGUGUAGAGAUCAGGAGGAACACCCGUGGUGAAAGCGGUCCGCUGGGCCGCACCUGACGCUGAGGCGCGAAAGCCAGGGGAGCGAACGGG